UACGUAGGGUGCAAGCGUUGUCCGGAAUUAUUGGGCGUAAAGAGCUCGUAGGCGGUCUGUCGCGUCGGCUGUGAAAUCCCGGAGCUCAACUCCGGGUCUGCAGUCGAUACGGGCAAACUGGAGUACUGCAGGGGAGACUGGAAUUCCUGGUGUAGCGGUGAAAUGCGCAGAUAUCAGGAGGAACACCGGUGGCGAAGGCGGGUCUCUGGGCAGUAACUGACGCUGAGGAGCGGAAGCGUGGGGAGCGAACAGG
rnacentral:rRNA from 1 species